AAAGCUAUCAUUUUUUUUUCCAUUCUUUCUUCUUCAACCGUGGGAAAGAACCGAAAAUGGCAGCCAUGGAUGAGCUCCAUUCGGCCAAGCUUCUAUGGCUUAUAUAGAUCAAGAAAACAUGAAAUGUUGGAUUAAGAUCAGGGAAGAACAGAGUUGUGUGCUAAGUCAGAAAAGUUAGCCGUUUCAGCAUUUGAGAUCAAGAAAGGCGUGGAAUCGACCUCGAACGGGGGAAGGAAAAAGUUUUGGACUAAAUUGCAAAAUUCCCAUAUUUUGCACCGAGUGUCAUCCAGCUAGCACAGGAGUUAGAGAUCGUAGAAGAUCUGCCCGCACUAUCAAUACUCUGGGUAUCUGAAUUCAACAUUUUGAAAUAUGGCAUGUAUAGCAGAAUUAGUUAUUUUGUUAUGUGUCAUAAUUGUCUAGGUUUAAAUUACUACUUAUAGUAUCAAACUAAUCAUUUUGGACGAAGCCUUUGAAACUGGUUUGUAUUGUUAAUGGCAUAUGUUAUAAUGAUUCAUGAUCAAAUUGCACGCCAUAUUUUUGUUGGGUUUUAUUUAAUAGUAUAUACUAUAAUUUGUUAAUACCUCGUACCCUGUUCCGGCGACGGACACGGGUAAGGGGUGUUACAAUAUGUAAGUAAUACAUCAAUUUUACUUGUAUUAUGAUAUUUUAUAAUAAUAUUGGAAAUAUGUUUGUUGAUAA